AAGUCGUAACAAGGUUUCCGUAGGUGAACCUGCGGAAGGAUCAUUACAGCUGUAUAAGUCCUAUACACAGUAUACUGUGGGUCCUGGAUAAAAAACCGUCGGAUAGCAGCCUUAAAACAGCUGCUCUUCUAUGUGGCCCGCAAGGGAGUCCAGUACCGCCAACCUUGCUAAAAUUAAAAAAAGUCGUUGCCUCGGCGGGUUUGCCUGCCGGCGGAUAAAAAACUUAAACUCUUUUUUCACAUUGAUAAUGUAACAGUCUGAGUAAAUAUUUAAUAAAUAUUAAAA
rnacentral:misc_RNA from 1 species